AGCACUGUCGCACAUCUUUUCCCCCAGAAGAGCGCUGCCCACACCUGAGGAGCAGACAUCAGCUGUCACUCGGUCACAGCACAGCCAAAUCACACCACCAAUCCCUCUUCUGUGCCUUCAUUGCCACGAAUUCCCUAAUCUUGUUAUUCUUGGGUGUUGGAAAAGAGUAAUCAUCCGUGCCAUGAAAUCGAAGACAACAGCAGCACUUCCAGGGAGAUGACUGGAGUCAGAGGAAUUAAUUCUCCCAGCAGACAGCUCCUCUCUAGAACAAAUGAUUUGCCCAAGGAAAAAAAAAAAUAGCCCCAUUUUUUGCCCCAGAGAUAUCUGGAAGGUUUGUAACUUCUCUGUGAGCUCUGCAAAAGAAUGGCAGCUCGUGAGCAUUUAUGGAGCAAUGGACCACAGAGGGAGGUGAGGGCUUUGGGGAACAGCAGAUGUCCCACAGGAGGGAAGGAUGGAGGGGUCAGCCAGCUCAGCCCCGUCACAGGGAGGCUCCAGGAAAUCUGCAACAAAUCUAAAAUGUUUCAGAGGUAGACAUUCCCUGAAGGUACCUCGGAUGAAAGACUUUGCUGCCACAAGGAUAAAAAGAAAUAUAAUACAAAUUAAUUUGGGCUUGGAACUAGAAAGGGUUGUUUGUAGUCCAUGUAAUGGUUCUAUGUUAUUCUUUCAUGUAGAGAGAGAAGCUCAGGGUCAGGGUUAGUGCUGGAAGGUGGCAGGAAUGCUGCAGGUCCAGGAAAAAAAACCAGCAGAUGCACAGCAAACCCUCCUCUGUGCUUUUUCUCCGGUCCUACCUUAAGAAAAGAAAAGCCCUUCUAGGAAGUUCUUUCUAAAGGUCAAAAGAAAUCCCUUCUGAAGGGAGCAGGUUUGCAUUUUACAUACAUUGUUAGCGGAGCCUUCUUAGCCAGCUCAUUUCCUAGGUCCUUAACCAGCCAGCCUCCCUGGAGCAGAGAGAUUUCCUCUCGUGUCAAAUCACUUGGCUGCACAUGGGAGAGAAGCCCUUUCACGGGGUGAAUUUGCGAGAUUCUCAAAUCUUCUUUAUUCCCAAUGCUGUCCCUCAUUGCUGCAUCUCCAGGAGACUGUGAUGGGCUAAGCCCAGAAGGAGCACAGAAAGGUGACAGCACCCAUCCUACACACACACAUACACACACACACACAGAUACAGUCUUCUAACCCUUCCCCACACUGCAUAACCAGGCCUGGAAAGGAUCCCUGGAGCUGUUCAAGAACCGUGGGGAUGUGGCACUGAGGGACAUGGUCAGAGGGCACGGUGGGGAUGGGUUGGACUGGGUGAUCUGAGAGGUCUUUUCCAACCUCAAUGAUUCUACUCCGUUGCCAGAGAAGCUGCAUUCAGAACAGAGGUAACAUGAACUCCUAAGGAUGAUCUUUUCUUGAAGUUAGUUGCCUGAGCUGGAGAAUCAAGCAGGAGAGCGUGGAGCACAAGAAAAACGAACAGAGGCUGCCUUAGGGCACACCCAUAAGGUACCAACAGAGUGGAAGAGCAGGCAAGACAAACGCUCACUGAGCGCAAUUAUUUUAAUGAGUCUGUCUUUUCCAAAAUCCACAUUGCACAUAUAUAAAUAGUAUUCUCCUUUUUAAAAAAAAGACUCUCACAAUAGAAACUGUGACUUGGAGAACAAGAAAGCCUCCCUGUCUCCUGCUACACAAGAAGAAGGCACAAAUUCACAAUGACAUCAGUACAGGCAAUCACAGUUGCAGAUAGACAGACAGACACGGAAAUCCCAAAGGAUAUCAAAAGGAAAAAGCAGAGCAUCCAUGCUUUGGAAAGCAGCAGGUGUUCUUGUGUGGGAUCUACCAUCACUGGUAGCAUUUCAUGGUGCAGCUGUGAUAAGGAGCAAUUCCAGUACACAUACUCCAGACUCAGUUUUCAAGCCUUCAAUGAGCAGAAGAGGAAUUUGUAUGGUGACCACUUAGUUUUACUACUUUUUGCCUCCAAGUGCCCAAAGAAAAGCACUGCAGUAACUAUAAUCCUGUGGGCAAUGCCUCUGAAGGACUUGCAGGGUGUUGUGCGCUAUUCCAAAAUGCUGGUGAGCCAGCAACCCGGGAGCCAAACCUGGAUCAGCAAGUUACUCUGCUUAUUUCCUAUAGCAAUUACCAGCAGGCAAAAACUAUGGGAGCCUUUAGUUCAGUACUGCAGUUCCCACAAACCAAACAGAAGUCAGUGCUGGAAGUGGAGAUCACCUGUGAAAACAAGCUCUAAAGGAGAUCAUGCAGAGAUCAGACCAGACAGACCCAUCCACCUUCAAGCAGUCCCCAGACUCAGGUGUGCUGAUACCAACCCUCCUGCUUAGCAAAGUUGUUCAUCAUUACAGCCUCUCUCUGGAGCUAGGAGCAGCUGUCUUCCCUCCUGCACAGGCAGGCAGCUGGGCAGCAGUGCAACUAAAUGAUUUGCCCAGGACUUGGAGGCUGAAGCACAGAUUUGAGCCUACAUCUUCCCAGGCAUGAAUCCUCCUGCUUCUGCUCCUUCUAGCCAGUAGGCUUAAAAAAAAAAAAAAAAAAAAAAAAAA